rnacentral:misc_RNA from 1 species
GUCCUUAUCUCUGACUUCAUUCUCCAGUCGAUUUAGCUCCAACUUCACCGGAUCCGACCCGUGAAGCAGGUUCAUGAACUCGUCGGCGUCGAGACUGGGCCUCACCACCGACAUCCUUCUCCGGUAAGUACCCUUUCCUCCUCCAGACACUGUCGGUGUAAGAGCAACUUCAUUCGUCGCCGUUAUCGCAUUGCCGGUGUUCUCGCCGGAAGUCAUCUCCGGCGUCUCCAUCACACUUCCAUCCUCCGCCAUUUCGAUCUGUGUAAUUUUAUCCUAUCUCACAUCAAAUUCAAAACAUAUCGAUACUAAAGUAACUGAGGAAGUAUAUAUUUAUUUAUUUAUUUAU